UAGGGAAUCUUCCGCAAUGGACGCAAGUCUGACGGAGCAACGCCGCGUGAGUGAAGAAGGAUUUCGGUUCGUAAAACUCUGUUGUUAGAGAAGAACAGCGCAUAGAGUAACUGUUAUGCGUGUGACGGUAUCUAACCAGACAGCCACGGCUAACUACGUGCCAGCAGCCGCGGUAAUACGUAGGUCCCGAGCGUUGUCCGGAUUUAUUGGGCGUAAAGCGAGCGCAGGCGGUUAGAAAAGUCUGAAGUGAAAGGCAGUGGCUCAACCAUUGUAGGCGAUGGGAGCUGGGUAGCUUGAGUGCAGGAGGGGAGAGUGGAAUUCUAUGUGUAGCGGUGAAAUGCGUAGAUAUAUGGAGGAACACCGGUGGCGAAAGCGGCUCGCUGGUCUGUAACUGACGCUGAGGCUCGAAAGCGUGGGGAGCGAACAGG
rnacentral:rRNA from 1 species